UUGUUCACAAUGGGCGCAAGCCUGAUGACGCAACGCCGCGUGGAGGAUGAAGGUCUUCGGAUUGUAAACUCCUGUUGCUCGGGCCCAAAAGCUCUGACCUAACACGUCAGAGUCUGACGGUACCGGGUGAGGAAGCCCCGGCUAACUCUGUGCCAGCAGCCGCGGUAAUACAGAGGGGGCAAGCGUUGUUCGGAAUUACUGGGCGUAAAGGGCGCGUAGGCGGCCUUCUAAGUCAGACGUGAAAUCCCCGGGCUCAACCCGGGAACUGCGUCUGAUACUGGAGGGCUUGAAUCCGGGAGAGGGAUGUGGAAUUCCAGGUGUAGCGGUGAAAUGCGUAGAUAUCUGGAGGAACACCGGUGGCGAAGGCGGCAUCCUGGACCGGUAUUGACGCGAGGCGCGA
rnacentral:rRNA from 1 species